rnacentral:rRNA from 1 species
UACGUAGGGGGCUAGCGUUGUCCGGAAUCAUUGGGCGUAAAGAGCGUGUAGGCGGUCCGGUAAGUCCGCUGUGAAAGUCGGGGGCUCAACCCUCGAAUGCCGGUGGAUACUGUCGGGCUAGAGUGCGGAAGAGGCGAGUGGAAUUCCUGGUGUAGCGGUGAAAUGCGCAGAUAUCGAGGAGGAACACCUAUUGCGAAGGCAGCUCGCUGGGACGUAACUGGACGCUGAGACGCGAAAGCGUGGGGAGCAAACAGG